UGAGGGGGGGCAAAGACGCCCUUCUGACCUCCUACCUCGGUGACGCGUCCCACCACGCCCGCGAGGAGCCCUCAGGCUACGCCCUCGCCUCGCUCACUCCCCUUGCUCCGAUCCUCGGCGGGGGGAGGGGCGCGGUGCGGCCGGCGCUCUCUGAUUGGCUCCCGCGUCGGCGAUCCACGCCACGAUUGUUCCCUGCGACCGUCUGGCGCCAGCGCACUGCAGGUGGGGAGCGGGCGUUGGAAGUUGCUGGAAGUUGGAGGCAGGGGAGCGGUCACUCGCGGCGAGCGCCGGCGGCGCCCAGGGCGCAAAGUUGGGAGCAGUCCCUAGUCCGAGCCUUUCAGUCGCCCUCCAGUAUCAUCAGUACCACGGACUUCACCAUGGACUUACCACUUGCUGCGGCCCCUUAGCAACCCAGUGCACCUGCCACUCCAGCAGAUCCGGAGACUGGAAGUCUGAGAUCUGGGUGUCAGCAGGGUUGGGUUCCAGUGAGGACUCUCUUCCUGGCUUGCAGAGGGGCACAGUCCCCUUUCCUAGAGGGAAACCAGUCAGGAGUGGGAGGCCUCUGAACAAGCUGUAUUCUGUGUAGCCGCCAGCUUCCAUCUUUCUCCAGGCAGAACGCUGGCCCUCAGCACCUCUUUCUGCUUCCCUUUGGUCAGACCACUGAGGACUGCUGCUGUCCUGUCUGAUUCCUCCUGUUUUGGCCCCAGAUGAGGUUCUCGGGAGGAUCCACAAAGCUGCGUCCAGGGGAACGAAUGUGUGGAAGCUGCAGCGGAGCCUUCUGCCCAAGAGUAAAGGACCCGUCUGAAACCUACAAGAACGGAACUGCAGGCUGCGGGCUGCGGGAGGAGAAGAGCCAUGUGACCGGAUCCCCAGUUUGGCAGAGGAGACAUGUGAGAGGACAGAACGUUUUGGCCGAAGAGACAUCUGGCAGGGUGGAACAGAGAGAACAGGUGUGGCAGAGAGAACGUCUGAGAAGCUUGCACGAUUCGCAGAAGGAGCAUCGGUAGAAGAUUGCCUCUUUGCCCAAAGGAACGUCAAGUUCCAAAAGUCAGAGGCUUGCGUGAACUCUGUCAGGUUCAGGAGCAGCUCAGUGUUGCUGGUGCAAGUGUGGUACAGAAGUGCUGGGGCGUGGUUUGAAUGUCUAGAAAAGGCGAGCUGAGGGUAGAUUUUUGAACAGUCCAGAGCAGGAGGGGUAGAGGAUAUAUUUUGUGGGCCAUGGCCACAUUCUCAGGAUGCUCUUGGCUAUAAAUAGUAGAUGACCCAAGUAAGAGCAACUGAAGCCGUAGGCACCAGAGCUGUGUUGGCAUCAUCAUGUCAUGCUCACAUUUUCCCUUCCAGUGUGCUGUGGUCAGUGUUUAGUUCAUGUCUGCUUUCCCGGUGGGCCGAGUAGCAACAGCUGUAGUUGGCUGUUCUCUGAAGGCAGUAUUUGAAGGAUGAAGGGGUUGCUCUUCUUCCCAGGUGUCUUUUGAAGAGGCAGUCAAGUCAGCAGCUCGCAGUGACCUUCUGGUAACAUUGUAUGGGCUGGGUUACAGCACAUGCCCACUGCUAAGCCAGUCACUGGGGAAGGCCAUGUGAUUGCUGUGAUGAGCUUAGAAUGGUCAUUCCUCCUUCGGGAGCUGGGGUGGGUUGAGGGAACAAUAAAGAUCCUGAUAACCCUGCGUUUCUCCAGUGAGGAAGAAGAAAGGCUGUGGAUAGGGAGCCAGCCAGGUUUCCUGCGGAGAUUCACAGGAAGCUUUUAAGCAGGGGAGUCAGAAGAUGAGCAGUGAGUAUUAGGGCGUUCCAAUCACGGUGUGAUGCAGGGAUUGUCCUGCUCUUCCUGUAAAGGGCCAGGUGGGAAACACUCAUAGGCCCCGUGGUGGCUGUCAUGUCUGCUGAAGCCUCCCGUAGUAGCGUGGAAGCAGUCAGAGAUGACGCUUAAGCAAAUGGUCCUGGCUGGCCUCUGGUAAAGCGUCAAUUCUGGAAGGAUUUAACAGACCUAACAACCUUUCAAACUGCAUGGCGUUUCUUUCCCAUCUCCCGUUUUGGAAAUGUUUCUGGCGGCUUACAAGGACUAUCUCCAACGUGCUUGGUCUCUCUUAAGUUUCCCAGGAUCCUGAAUCGGGCAUCCACUGUUCGUCCUUACUGCUCUGGGAUGUCUCGGUCUUACCAUGUCCCUGCCAACCCUGGUCCCAUCUCAUCACGAUCACCCACUGAAGAGAGGAGGUGCUGGAGUGAACGUGGUUGGGGGAGCCCCGUUCAUCCCCAGGGUCCCAGAAUGAACCAGUGUUACUGUGUACCCCUGGUCUUGCCUUCCUCCCUGCUCUAACAGCCGUGUAUUAGCCUGGGAUCAGCUUUGGUCCCAGUGCUAUUGGUCUGUUGCACCUGCAGCCUUGGUCCAGCUUCUGUCUUUGUCUCCGUGACGUGAGAGUGACUGUGGCUGAGAGCAUUCCAGCAAGACAAUGAUGAUCUCUGCUGUCUGAUUCCCACUUCCCAGGUUCUCACAAUAGAUGAGGAGCCUGUUUUUCAGCCAGCUGCCGCAAGGGGGCUGGACAUUUCACCCUUCAGAUAGGACCUGGAAGGCCUGGAAACAUCUGGAGAAGGGCGUGACUGUGAGUAGAGAAAAGGACACUAUUGGCGGAAGCGGGCGGAAGCAAGAGAGGAAGACACGGAAAGCCUUGCUGUGCUCUCCAAAAGAGCCGCCCUUUGUGCAUGGUGGGCUGUCCACAUCGGCGGUGUCCUGUUGACAGCUGGGAGGGGCCACAGGCAUGACGUUUUUCCUGCAGUUGUAAGUGCUCUCCCUUGAGGCGUGCCUUUUUCGGCAGUAAGAUGUUGCCUGGGGAGGGUCAUAGGGCAGUAAAACCUGGCCAGUAUGCCUGUGAGGAGGUGUGUGUGAGCUCCCUUGCCCGUCUCCUGAGAUCUUCUUGGGGAGCUGCUCAUCACCACCUUCUGGAAUUUCUGUCUGUUGUGGGGACUGCCCAUCCCUGGCGACCCCUGCCAGCCAUCUUUUCUUAUUUUGGAAUGGCAAUUUAACAGCGGCCUGACCUGUCAUGUCCUGGUCACCUGACAUCUCUGGUGGGGUGUGGGCUAGGCCCUCUCCUGCACUGCUUCUGUGUGUCCAGCCACCCAUGGUAACAUGGAAACAUCUGGCAGGAUGGAAUGGUUGAUGGAAGACACUUCUGAUGAGGUCGAAUGUUUUGCAGAAGAACUAUGUGAUUGGAUCCCUGGUUUGACAGAGUAGGCAUGCGAGAAGACUGAACGUUUCAUCGUUGAAACAUCUUAUAAGGUGGAAUGUGUGGCAGAAAGAACGUCUUAGAAGCUCAUGCAGUUUGCAGAAGGAACAUCUGUAGAAGAUUCCCUGUUUUCUGAAGGAACGUCAAGUUCCAAAGGUCAGAGACUCACAUGAAGUCGUUUCGUUUUAGGAACCGCACAUUGUUGCUCUUGGAAAGAGUGUGGUACUGAUGUGGUUGGGCAUGAUUUGAAUGUCUAGAAAAAGUGAGCUUUAGGGAAGAUUUUUGAGCAGUCCAGAGCAGGAGGGGUAGAGGAUAUAUUUUGCAGGCCACGGCCACAUUCUCAGGAUGCUUUUGGCUGUAAAUAGUAGAUGACCCAAGUAAGAGCGACUGAAGCCAUAGGCACCAGAGCUGUGUUGGCAUCGUCAUGUCACGCUCACAUUUUCCCUUCCAGCCAUACUGCAGGCAGUUUUUAGUUCAUGUCUGCUUUUCCGGUGGACUGCGUAGCAACAGCUGCAGUUGGCGUGUUGUCUGAAGGCAGUAUCUGAAGUGUGGAUGCAUUGCUCUUCUUCCCAGGUGUCUUUUGAAGAGGGAGUCAAGUCAGCAGCUCACAGUGACCUUCCGGAAAUGUCAUAUGGGCUGUGUUACAGCACAUGCCUAUUGCAAACCCGUCACUAGGGAAGGCCACGUGAUUCCUGUGAUGUGCUUAGAAUGAUCAUUUCUCUUUCGAGACCUGAGUUAACAAGUGCAGGGUUUGACUCAAGGUGGUGUCAUUUGUUGGCAGGCUUUCAGGGUGGUGUUUUUGCCUCUCCCCUGAUCCAUCCUUCGGGUGGGUCUGUCCACUGGUGCCGUGGCCUGCCAUCCCGUGGGUUUUGGGUGUCACACGCGCAGUGCGGUUCCUAGAGUCUUAGGCUUGUGCCCUUUUCUUACCCAUGGAGCUGCUAAACCCAGCCGUUCUGGCUGUUAGGUGUCCUGCAUGAGCCCACGCACGUGAUUCCUGGGAUUUUACCGGAAAGCUGCUGAUGUCCAGCUUCCAGCUCUUUUGUCCUUUGGGAGGCUGCCCUUUUUUGGCACUGGCAGGCUGCGAACGGUUUUCCUCCAAAGAAACGUUUCAACAACUGCCUGACCAUCAUCUACUGGUUGUCUGACAUUUCUGGUGGUGGUGGGGGAAGCCUCUCAUACCCUGCUCAUGUCAGUCCAGCUACCUGGAGUGACUGGAAUGUCUGACAGGAUUGCACAUUUGGCAGAAGAAUAUCUGAGACGAUUCAGUGUUUGGCAGACAUGAACAUACGACAGAAGGGCCAUCCAGGAAGACUGCACACUGGGCAGAAGGAAGACUUAAGAACAUUGCAUGGACAGCAGAAGGAGUGCUUCAGGAGAUUGCCUGGUGGGCGGCAGGAACACCUGAGAGGACAUCAUGGCGGACAGUGGAAAUGAGAGGUUUACAUUUAAUGCCUUGUUUACAUAAGGUGGUAAACUCUGGAGCACUUCUGGUUAAGGGUGGAAAUUCGCCCUGGGUGAAGGAAGAAUCUUCCCUCUUCCCAGAGGGGCAAUGACUGGAAACGAGCAAGUAGGUGCAGUCUUUAAAGGGCCACAGUACUAGGCUCUAUCCAGAGAGCUGUUCAGACUGCUCCAAAAGGCUUCUGAGAAGUUGUUGCUAGGGCGUAACAGGACAGUUAGAUUAAGAGUAGGAAUGAUAGCUUCUUCAGCACUUUGGAGCAGGAAGGAAUGGAAGCAAGAUACAGUUGGAAGAGGGUAUAGUGAGUGACUUGACAGAUCGAGUGCAUGGUAUUAUUUUUGACUUGGUUCUCCUUCGUUGGCAUGCUUCUGGGUUGGCGUCGUCGCCUCUCCCCUGAUCCUUCCCUGGGAUAGGGCUGUUCAGUGCAGCAGCCAGCGAGCUCCUUGGGCGGGGUGUGUGGCGUACACAGUGUGAUGUCUAGAAUCUUACAUGUACUUACUUGAGGCAUGUACUUACCUUCACCAGUCGAGUGUUCUCAGAGAAAGAUGAUGGAGCUGCUAAACCUUGCCCAUUUUGAUCCGUUAUGUGAGACAUGCCUUUUGCCUUCUCUCAUGAUUGUGAAGUGUCCCCAGCCUGUGGAGCUGUGAGUCCGUUAAUCUUUUUUCCAUUUAAAUUGCUCUCUCUCCAGUAUGUUUUUGUCAGCAAUUUUAAAACGGACUAAUUUUAGACGCUUGGCCCUAGUUCUCUGUAGGCCUUUCAAUAUCAAAAAUGUCUGAUAUUGAAUAUUAAAAGUAUCCAGUAUUUCUAUUAAACUGUUGAGUCAUUGGAGUUCCAACCAGGGUUGUCAAGAUGUACUGCCUCUCUUCCUUUGGUAAUGGAGUUUCCCUUGUUUCUUUUCUUUCCCUAUUUUGUCUUGUAUUUUUAUUUAUUUAUUUAUUUUUAUUUUUUUGUCACACUGUAGGACACAUAUUGCUUGUCUCUGAACUUCUCAGCUGCCUGCACAUCUUCCUGUUUUUCAUCUGCAGUUAGGGUUUGUCUGAGGAGCAGCAUAACAUCCCUCCAUGCGAGGUCCAACACCUGAGUUAAAUUUUGGAAAGCUUCUUUAUACCUAUCAGGGUCAUUCGAAAACCAGCCGAAUUCUCCUUAUCUGCCUGUGGUUCUGCAAUGAGAAGGGAACUGGAACCUUGGUGACAUCAUCUCCAUUAGGUAUUUCCUACAGUGGUAAGUGUCAGACCGUGGAAUGAGGAGUGAUGACGCUGGAGGGGCUGACAUUACAUUUGGAAGGGGCCGUGAAUAAGGGGGACCAUGAGGAGCCUGAACACUAACUGCCUUCAGUGUUUUUCCCAGAACUUGUUUUGCUGCUGUUGGGGAGUUAAUUCCUUUGGGCCUGCCUGAUAUGACUAUUAAAAGAGCUAUGUUGAUUGUGCAAUGCUUACAAGGGUCUAGUAACCUUUGGUUCUCCAUUGGUGAUUUUUUUUUUUUUUUUUUUUGACUUUGUAAACCUGUGUGACCUGUGUGGCUCCUCAAUAGAUAGAUCUUGGAAAAUAGUAUGUAAUAGUUGUAUUUGGGCAAGGCCCCUUUAAUGGAGACAGUGUACUGAGUUGAACUCUUUAUUUUGCUAUUAUGGCCUUGACUAAUGUAUUUAUUUUUAGGCAGUGAUUCUGGUUAACUUUCAGACAUAAAAUGUUACUAUUUAAGUAACACGUUAAUUGGAGGCAGAAUAGGUGCCUUAAAAUAAUGUAAGGAAUGAAAGGUGGUUUUCCUGCUCAUGGUACAGUACUGGGGCUAAAACUUCAUUUUGGAGGACAUUUUCCUCCUCAUUGUUGAGUUUUCCUAUUCACAGAAGAAGCAUAAAGGCUGGUCUCUAGUAGAGGGUGCAAAAGUGAGAAGAAUUCAGAAACUAGAAUGUUUCAGCAAAGAACUGACAAGGUGUCUCAUGGAGAGGAUUCUAAUUGCAUUAGGUGGUGCUGUUGACCUUGAAAUACCAUGUGCUCUACAGACCAAGGGCAGAGAGAGAGAGAGAGAGAGAGGUUCACUGGGUGGGGUGGGUGAGACCCUCUGUUUCUAGAAAAUCACAAAAACGGCACUCCCUUGAUCUAUAUUCCCAGUUACCAGAGCGUUUCCAAAUCUUGCCUAACAGGAUUAUUUCCCUGAGCUUUGAAAAUUUCUGCAGCAUUGCACACACACAGUGGAGAAGAGACAUGGUUGUCUUGGACAGGAAAGGAGGAAGAUUACAGUAGGAAAGACUCCAAGAUCCUGUUGCUGGUGCCCAUCAGGCAGUCGGGGAGGGUGGAGUUAGUCCAGAAGCCUUUGGGUAACAGUGGGGUGUUGUCCUGGUAAGGAAGCAUUAGUUGCCUCUGGACCUCUUCCAGACCCACAUGACAUCUAGACUCUCUGUCAAAACAGAGUCAACCUCCCCAGCACUUUGAGGGCCCUGGGGGAUUCACUAAGUUUUCUCUGUUGUCUUAGUAUUGAGAAUGGUGGCCACCCUAAAGAUUUUUUUUAAUUUGCUAUCAGUUGCCCAGUUUUUAGUUUAUAAUUUUAAAGUUGAGGGCAGAAGGCCUCAAAAUGAAGGUAAAGGUUUAGGGUCCACUGCUUUACUCACCUUUCUGAUGAAUCUACCUUGGAUCCCCAACCAGCCCCGACAAUGAAAUGGCGUUAUUGUCUGUGGUAAAUAUCUGAGAUUCGUUGUCUCACAGACCUGGAAAACUAGGCCACAGACAUUCAGAGUGAGGCUCGGAGCAGAAGUUUAAUAGGUGAAAGAAAGAGAAAAGCUCUCUUGCUACAGAGAAGGGUCCCAGAGAAAUAGGUCGCUGGUUCUGCAGUGAAGUGCAAGGGUCUUUAUAGAUGAACUUGAAGUGGGGGUGUCUGAUUUACAUAAGACACAAAAGAUUGGUUGGACCAGGUAUACCAUUUGCAUAGGGCAUGAAAAGCUGGAUGUCCCCACCAUAACCUUUUAUUAUGCAAAUGACUUUUCUACCUGGCUGGUGUUGAAUUGCCCAUUUUUCUUUUUCUGUUUUUUUUUUUUUUUCCACUGUAAACAUAGUAACAAUAAAAGGGAAGAUGGAGCCUCUGUGAUGGACAUACCUGGCCCCCAAGUAGCUCUUUUCUAUUGGCGCAGCUACUAGCAUCCUAAAUCAUUUAUUUCUACCUCCUGUAUCAGUGGCAGCAGAUCUGUAUGGGUCUGCAGCAACCUCAAUUCUUGUCUUCUAAGAAGAAAGAAUUUGACUGACAAGAGUAAGCCAGAGGGAGAGACCUAGGAAAGUUUUAAAACAGGAGUGAAAGUUUAUUAAACAGCAUCAGAAUAAGAGCCAAAGGUAAUAAAGUACCCCUGGAAGUGGGCCAAGUGGGUGACCUGAGAGAUCAAGUGCAUGGUUUGAUUUUUGACUUGGGAUCUCCUAGGUUAGCAAGCUUCUGGGAUUGGUUUCUUCUUGCUGAUGCUUCCUUUGGGGCAGGUUGUCCACAUGCAGAGUGGUCUGUCAGCACUUGGUAAGGGCUGAAUGUGCAGUGUGGUUACUGGAGCUGUAUGCAUGCUCACUUGAUGUGUUCCUCCUGAACCAGACUAAUAUUGCUAGAGAAAGGUACUAGAGGUACUCAGAACUUUAUGUGUAUGGAAUUUAAAAAGUGUGCUUCCUUUUUAGUCUGGCUGCUUUUUCUUAAUAUUAUGUUUUUGAGGAUCAUGUAUGGCAGUUGUUCGUUUUCCUUUCUGAAUAGUAUUUCUAUUGUGUGGAAUAUCCAAAAAUUCUAUUUAUCUAUCUGUCUGUCUGUCUAUCUAUCUAUCUAUCUAUCUAUCUAUCUAUCUAUCUAUCCAUCUGUCUAUCCAUCCAUCCAUC